rnacentral:miRNA from 1 species
AAGAGAGAUAGAUCAGAAUUGACA